AUGCGGGUGAAAAACCCGCACGCCGGAAGACCAAGGGUUCCUGUCCAACGUUAAUCGGGGCAGGGUGAGUCGACCCCUAAGGCGAGGCCGAAAGGCGUAGUCGAUGGGAAACAGGUUAAUAUUCCUGUACUCGGUGUUACUGCGAAGGGGGGACGGAGAAGGCUAUGUUGGCCGGGCGACGGUUGUCCCGGUUUAAGCAUGUAGGCGGAUGUUCCAGGUAAAUCCGGAACGUUAUUAACGCUGAGGUGUGAUGACGAGGCACUACGGUGCUGAAGUGACAAAUGCCCUGCUUCCAGGAAAAGCCUCUAAGCAUCAGGUAACAUCAAAUCGUACCCCAAACCGACACAGGUGGUCAGGUAGAGAAUACCAAGGCGCUUGAGAGAACUCGGGUGAAGGAACUAGGCAAAAUGGUGCCGUAACUUCGGGAGAAGGCACGCUGAUGGUAAGUGAAGUGACUUGCUCAUGGAGCUGAAAUCAGUCGAAGAUACCAGCUGGCUGCAACUGUUUAUUAAAAACACAGCACUGUGCAAACACGAAAGUGGACGUAUACGGUGUGACGCCUGCCCGGUGCCGGAAGGUUAAUUGAUGGGGUUAUCCGUAAGGAGAAGCUCUUGAUCGAAGCCCCGGUAAACGGCGGCCGUAACUAUAACGGUCCUAAGGUAGCGAAAUUCCUUGUCGGGUAAGUUCCGACCUGCACGAAUGGCGUAAUGAUGGCCAGGCUGUCUCCACCCGAGACUCAGUGAAAUUGAACUCGCUGUGAAGAUGCAGUGUACCCGCGGCAAGACGGAAAGACCCCGUGAACCUUUACUAUAGCUUGACACUGAACACUGGUCCUUGAUGUGUAGGAUAGGUGGGAGGCUUUGAAGUGUGGACGCCAGUCUGCAUGGAGCCAUCCUUGAAAUACCACCCUUUAAUGGCUGGUGUUCUAACGUGGGCCCCUAAUCGGGGUUGCGGACAGUGUCUGGUGGGUAGUUUGACUGGGGCGGUCUCCUCCUAAAGAGUAACGGAGGAGCACGAAGGUCAGCUAAUCCUGGUCGGACAUCAGGAGGUUAGUGCAAUGGCAUAAGCUGGCUUGACUGCGAGCGUGACGGCGCGAGCAGGUGCGAAAGCAGGUCAUAGUGAUCCGGUGGUUCUGAAUGGAAGGGCCAUCGCUCAACGGAUAAAAGGUACUCCGGGGAUAACAGGCUGAUACCGCCCAAGAGUUCAUAUCGACGGCGGUGUUUGGCACCUCGAUGUCGGCUCAUCACAUCCUGGGGCUGAAGUAGGUCCCAAGGGUAUGGCUGUUCGCCAUUUAAAGUGGUACGCGAGCUGGGUUUAGAACGUCGUGAGACAGUUCGGUCCCUAUCUGCCGUGGGCGCUGGAGAAUUGAGGGGGGCUGCUCCUAGUACGAGAGGACCGGAGUGGACGCAUCACUGGUGUUCGGGUUGUCAUGCCAAUGGCAUUGCCCGGUAGCUAAAUGCGGAAGAGAUAAGUGCUGAAAGCAUCUAAGCACGAAACUUGCCCCGAGAUGAGUUCUCCCUGACUCCUUGAGAGUCCUGAAGGAACGUUGAAGACGACGACGUUGAUAGGCCGGGUGUGUAAGCGCAGCGAUGCGUUGAGCUAACCGGUACUAAUGAACCGUGAGGCUUAACCUU
rnacentral:rRNA from 2 species